GACGAACGCUGGCGGCGUGCUUAACACAUGCAAGUCGAACGGAAAGGCCCUGCUUUUGUGGGGUGCUCGAGUGGCGAACGGGUGAGUAACACGUGAGUAACCUGCCCUUGACUUUGGGAUAACUUCAGGAAACUGGGGCUAAUACCGGAUAGGAGCUCCUGCUGCAUGGUGGGGGUGGGAAAGUUUCGGCGGUUGGGGAUGGACUCGCGGCUUAUCAGCUUGUUGGUGGGGUAGUGGCUUACCAAGGCUUUGACGGGUAGCCGGCCUGAGAGGGUGACCGGCCACAAUGGGACUGAGAUACGGCCCAGACUCCUACGGGAGGCAGCAGUGGGGAAUAUUGCACAAUGGGCGGAAGCCUGAUGCAGCAACGCCGCGGGCGGGAUGACGGCCUUCGGGGUGUAAACCGCUUUCGCCUGAGACGAAGCGUGAGUGACGGUAAUGGGUAAAGAAGCACCGGCUAACUACGUG
rnacentral:rRNA from 1 species